rnacentral:rRNA from 1 species
AGUGAACGCUGGCGGUAGGCCUAACACAUGCGAGUCGAACGGCAGCACAGUAAGAGCUUGCUCUUACGGGUGGCGAGUGGCGGACGGGUGAGGAAUACAUCGGAAUCUACUUUUUCGUGGGGGAUAACGUAGGGAAACUUACGCUAAUACCGCAUACGACCUACGGGUGAAAGCAUGGGAUCUUCGGACCUUGCGCGAUUGAAUGAGCCGAUGUCGGAUUAGCUAGUUGGCGGGGUAAAGGCCCACCAAGGCGACGAUCCGUAGCUGGUCUGAGAGGAUGAUCAGCCACACUGGAACUGAGACACGGUCCAGACUCCUACGGGAGGCAGCAGUGGGGAAUAUUGGACAAUGGGCGCAAGCCUGAUCCAGCCAUGCCGCGUGGGUGAAGAAGGCCUUCGGGUUGUAAAGCCCUUUUGUUGGGAAAGAAAAGCAGCAGGUUAAUACCCCGCUGUUCUGACGGUACCCAAAGAAUAAGCACCGGCUAACUUCGUG